AACGAACGCUGGCGGCAUGCCUAACACAUGCAAGUCGAACGAAGGCUUCGGCCUUAGUGGCGCACGGGUGCGUAACGCGUGGGAAUCUGCCUUUUGCUUCGGAAUAACAGUUAGAAAUGACUGCUAAUACCGGAUGAUGUCUUCGGACCAAAGAUUUAUCGGCAAGAGAUGAGCCCGCGUAGGAUUAGGUAGUUGGUGGGGUAAAGGCCUACCAAGCCGACGAUCCUUAGCUGGUCUGAGAGGAUGAUCAGCCACACUGGGACUGAGACACGGCCCAGACUCCUACGGGAGGCAGCAGUGGGGAAUAUUGGACAAUGGGGGCAACCCUGAUCCAGCAAUGCCGCGUGAGUGAUGAAGGCCUUAGGGUUGUAAAGCUCUUUUACCCGGGAUGAUAAUGACAGUACCGGGAGAAUAAGCUCCGGCUAACUCCGUGCCAGCCGCCGCAGUAAUAC
rnacentral:rRNA from 1 species